rnacentral:rRNA from 1 species
GUCUGCUUGAAGAUAUAAGAAGUCUAGCCUGCUCACUGAUAUAUUUUAAGAGCCGCGGUAAUUUGACCGUGCAAAGGUAGCAUAAUUGUUAGUUUUUUAAUUGGGAUCUUGUAUGAAUGGUUGGACAAAAGAAAAUCUGUCUCUAAAAUUAUAAUUGAAUUUAACUUUUAAGUGAAAAGGCUUAAAUUAAUUAAAAAGACGAUAAGACCCUAUAAAGCUUUAUAAAUUAUUUCUAUUUAGUUAAAUUGUUUUAUAAAAACUUAGUAGUUAUAUUUAUUUUAUUGGGGUGAUAAGAGUAUAAUUUUUAUUAACUGCUUGAUUGUUAGACAAAAUAGUUGAAAUAAAAGAAUUAAGGAUCCUAACUAAAGAUUAAAAGAUCAAGUUACUUUAGGGAUAACAGCGUUAUUUUUUUUGAGAGUUCUUAUCGAAAAAAAAGUUUGCGACCUCGAUGUUGAAUUAAAAUAUCUAAGUGAUUGCAGCAGUUGCUUAAGAAGGUCUGUUCGACCUUUAAAUUUUUACAUGAUUUGAGUUCAGACCGGCGUAAGCCAGGUCGGUUUCUAUCUUUUAAUUAUGGUUGAUUAUUUUAGUACGAAAGGAUUAAAGAAUCAAAAUUUUUUUAUAGUU